AUGACUUUGGCUAGAGAUUUACUACCUCUGUCCUUGGAAGAGGAAAAGAAAAACAUAAAAAGAAAUGGCUAGUGCAAAGUCCACAUUCUUACUACAUGCAUGUAAAACGUCCAGGUUGCUACAAGAUUACCACGGUUUUCAGCCAUGCUCAGAGAGUGGUUCUUUGUGUAGGUUGUUUAACAGUGUUGUGUCAGCCUACAGGAGGAAAGGCCAGCCUCACAGAAGGGUAUUCAUUUAGAGGAAAGCAACACUAAUGAUCCACACAGCUUCCUGAAUUCGUGUUAUCUUACAGAAAGCCUUAUCAUAAGUUCCAUAAUUUGAAUUAAUCUACCAAGAUAAUGUAAUUACAUUUGGUUUUGUAAGGUAUACAACAGUGAUCUCCUAUUUUGAUGUCAGGCUUUCAAUAAAGUUUUGGUUAUGGGCAAAAAGAAAGAAAGAAA